AACGAACGCUGGCGGCACGCCUAACACAUGCAAGUCGAGCGCACCUUCGGGUGAGCGGCGGACGGGUUAGUAACGCGUGGGAACAUACCCUUUUCUACGGAAUAGCCUCGGGAAACUGAGAGUAAUACCGUAUACGCCCUUCGGGGGAAAGAUUUAUCGGUGAAGGAUUGGCCCGCGUCUGAUUAGAUAGUUGGUGGGGUAAUGGCCUACCAAGUCUACGAUCAGUAGCUGGUUUGAGAGGAUGAUCAGCAACACUGGGGCUGAGACACGGCCCAGACUCCUACGGGAGGCAGCAGUGGGGAAUCUUAGACAAUGGGCGCAAGCCUGAUCUAGCGAUGCCGCGUGAGUGAUGAAGGUCUUAGGAUCGUAAAGCUCUUUCGCCAGGGAUGAUAAUGACAGUACCUGGUAAAGAAACCCCGGCUAACUCCGUGCCAGCAGCCGCGGUAAUACGGAGGGGGUUAGCGUUGUUCGGAAUUACUGGGCCGUAAAGCGCGCGUAGGCGGAUUAUUAAGUUAGAGGUGAAAUCCCAGGGCUCAACCCUGGAACUGCCUUUAAUACUGGUAAUCUAGAGUUCGAGAGAGGUGAGUGGAAUUCCGAGUGUAGAGGUGAAAUUCGUAGAUAUUCGGAGGAACACCAGUGGCGAAGGCGGCUCACUGGCUCGAUACUGACGCUGAGGUGCGAAAGCGUGGGGAGCAAACAGGAUUA
rnacentral:rRNA from 1 species